CGCACGCGGGUUCGCGGCCGAGGCCGAUAGGUCACGGUCGCUCCGGUGUCAGGAGAUGGGGUCACCCCCAUGCUUCUGGCGUUCGCCCGCGGAGGAUUAACCGGAAAAUGACAGGACACUU
rnacentral:sRNA from 1 species